AUUGAACGCUGGCGGCAUGCCUUACACAUGCAAGUCGAACGGUAACAGGCCGCAAGGUGCUGACGAGUGGCGAACGGGUGAGUAAUGCAUCGGAACGUGCCCAGUCGUGGGGGAUAACUGCUCGAAAGAGCAGCUAAUACCGCAUACGACCUGAGGGUGAAAGCGGGGGACCGUAAGGCCUCGCGCGAUUGGAGCGGCCGAUGUCAGAUUAGCUAGUUGGUGGGGUAAAGGCCUACCAAGGCAACGAUCUGUAGUUGGUCUGAGAGGACGACCAGCCACACUGGGACUGAGGCACGGCCCAGACUCCGAAGGGAGGCAGCAUUGGGGAAUUUUGGACAAUGGGCGCAAGCCUGAUCCAGCAAUGCCGCGUGCAGGAAGAAGGCCUUCGGGUUGUAAACUGCUUUUGUCAGGGAAGAAAUCUUCUGGGCUAAUACCCCGGGAGGAUGACGGUACCUGAAGAAUAAGCACCGGCUAACUACGUGCCAGCCGCCGCGGUAAAAC
rnacentral:rRNA from 1 species